GCCGCGCGGCGACCGUGGCCUGCUAACUGAUUUCAUUUUGGAUUUGAUUUGCAUUUUAGGAUGAUACAUCUUCCAUCAAAACUGGAGGAUGGAUUCGACCUUGUCCUAUUCGUGCUGCUGGAGGAUGGAAAGAUGUACAUGGAGCUGAAACCUCAAACAUACAUUUUGAUGAGGAAUUUCUAUCUUUUAUUUAUUAAGAUAAAGAGUGGUCCAAUCCAGCAUGGAGUAGUGGAGUGCUGCUUCAACGAUUUUGAUUGAUACAUGGAGUUGCGAACUUGACCAUACCAGUGCAUCUCAGGCAAGGGAAUCAAAAGUAUGGCACUGUGUGUGUGGUGCCAACUUCAGUGACGCCACUCUGAAGUUGAGGCCCAUACUCUGAGUUAUAUGUAGAAUUGAAGCUGGCCUUUCGAGAAAGACUCUGUUCAGUUCUAUGAUUCAGGGAUGCUGGUACAUGUCAAUAGUGAAUCUGAAGCUAUAACUCUUAUGAAGGCUCAUGUAUGGUGUAAGUGCUUAGGCAAUCUGUUAUCUUCUUUUACCACAUAGACAAUAUUUGAAAAUUUCAUAGGUAUUGGCUCUUUAUACUGGAGCUUUUGUGGUGUCCUAUGAAUAUUUGUAAGCCGCUCCUCUGUGAAUGGGCAGUUAGUAUAAUUCUAUUACCCAAUUGUAAAUACGUGUGAUUUUAAAAUUCUUGACAUGAUUUGACAAAAAAGAGCAUGUUCCACGGAAGAAGCAAUUUUUAUUUGUGUUAAUGUCUAAAAAAUGUUGCAUCUCACUCAAAUAUUUCAUGUUAUGAUUACGUCUGACUUGUGUCACUUAAAAUGUUAUAUGUGAUUGAAAAAUUAGAGUGCAUACCAUCAGCUUACUUAGUUUUUUUACAUAUUGUUUUCUGACUAAUACAUUUUGUGUUGGGACAGAGAACAUGGUUUAAUUUCA